UACAGAGGGUGCAAGCGUUAAUCGGAAUUACUGGGCGUAAAGGGCGCGUAGGCGGCCCCUUUUGUCGCGUGUGAAAGCCCACGGCUCAACCGUGGAGGGUCAUUGGAAACUGGGGGACUUGAGUGCAGGAGAGAAGAGUGGAAUUCCACGUGUAGCGGUGAAAUGCGUAGAGAUGUGGAGGAACACCAGUGGCGAAGGCGACUCUUUGGCAUGUAACUGACGCUGAGGCGCGAAAGCGUGGGGAGCAAACAGG
rnacentral:rRNA from 1 species